rnacentral:rRNA from 1 species
AUUGAACGCUAGCGGGAUGCCUUACACAUGCAAGUCGAACGGAGUGGCGAACGGGUGAGUAAUGUAUCGGAACGUGCCCAUUAGCGGGGGAUCACUCCGCGAAAGCGUAGCUAAUACCGCAUACUAUUGGAGCGGCCGAUAUCGGCUUAGCUAGUUGGUGGGGUAACGGCUCACCAAGGCGAUGAUCCGUAGCUGGUUUGAGAGCACGACCAGCCACACUGGGACUGAGAAACGGCCCAGACUCCUACGGGAGGCAGCAGUGGGGAAUCUUGGACAAUGGGGGAAACCCUGAUCCAGCCAUGCCGCGUGAGCGAAGAAGGCCUUCGGGUUGUAAAGCACUUUUGGCAGGGAAGCGGUAUCUGCAGAAUAAGCACCGGCUAACUACGUGCCAGCAGCCGCGGUAAUUC